ensembl:ncRNA C15C8.10 ncRNA
GUUUAUCAACACGGAGGUGAGGAAAACCGCUAGCUAAGCGGUGCCAGCAUGUUGCAAUAGGUAGCAAAAGUGAGUGUACACUGAGAAAUGUGUACUUUUCUUUUUCCGCAUUUUGACCUUUCUAG